rnacentral:rRNA from 1 species
AGACGAGGGUGGCAAGCGUUAUCCGGAUUUACUGGGCGUAAAGCGUGCGUAGGCGUUUGAAUAAGUCAAAAGUGAAAUUUUGAGGCUUAACCUCAAAACUACAUUUGAUACUAUUCAAAUAUGAGUGUAGCAGAGGUAGGUGGAACUUUCGGUGUAGUAGUGAAAUGCGUUAAUAUCGAAAGGAACGCCAAUAGCGAAGGCAGCCUACUGGGCUACAACUGACGCUGAGGCACGAAAGCGUGGGUAGCGAAUGGGAUUAGAAACCCUAGUAGUCC